GAUGAAGAACGUAGCGAAAUGCGAUAAGUAAUGUGAAUUGCAGAAUUCAGUGAAUCAUCGAAUCUUUGAACGCACAUUGCGCCCGCCAGUAUUCUGGCGGGCAUGCCUGUCCGAGCGUCAUUUCAACCCUCGAACCCCUCCGGGGGGUCGGCGUUGGGGAUCGGCCCUUUACGGGGCCGGCCCCGAAAUACAGUGGCGGUCUCGCCGCAGCCUCUCCUGCGCAGUAGUUUGCACACUCGCAUCGGGAGCGCGGCGCGUCCACAGCCGAUAAACACCCCAAACUUCUGAAAUGUUGACCUCGGAUCAGGUAGGAAUACCCGCUGAACUUAAGCAUAUCAAUAAGCGGAGGA
rnacentral:misc_RNA from 1 species